UUCAAGAGGCAGUCUUAAGUGGAGAGUCUUUAGGUCAUUGGAGUCAUGCCCUUGAAGGAGAUUGUAUUCUCUUCCUCCUCUUUUUUGCUCCUUUGCCAUGAGGUGAGUGGUUUUUGCUCUGCUGUGCACUCUAAUUUUGCUGUGCUGUCCACAAUUUGCUAUCUUGUCACAGGCCCAAAAGAAAAAGGGUCAAUUGAUCAUGGACUUAAACCCCCAAAACCAUGAGCCAAAGCAAACCCUGACUUUCUGUAAGUUUAUUAUCUCAGGUAUUUUGUUACAGUAAUGGAAAACUGACAGACAGUUUCCUUGUCUCUUCCCCAGUGUCCUGUAUCUGUGGCCACUUCACUGAAUGAAUGAGGCUCCUGAGCUGCUGGGAUUACAGAUGUGCUCCACCGCACCUGGCAAGAAAUAUUUUAGAUGAAUUGAUCCUUCUUUGAGGUCUACAUCUUUCCCUUAUACUGCAUGAAUAUUAUGAUGGCUCCAUGCUGUGUGAAGACACAGACCUGCUCUUCAGAAAGGAUCCCAGGGAUCUUCUGUAUUCUGGGAGCUCCCCACGAACUCUUCCAGGUUUGAUGUAAAUGCUAAAGGUCACCAGCGUUUAACACACCAGCCACUACCUCAAUUCCAAGAACCCAAGGUGAUCCUGAGAAAAGUGCUUCCAGAGGCCUCUAGAAAACCAGGUGAGGAGCCCACACCCCACCCCCACCCACCUUCCACCAGCUGCCCAGAGCUUUGGAGUGGCUUCCAGCUCCCCGUGCCUAACGGGGCUGCACUUUGGGGUUUGGAGAGGCCUCUUUUCCCGCUGGUUGCUAAGGCCAGCGCUGUCUCCAGGCCUGUUAUCUGGAGGAGGACAGUUUAAACAGGCCUUAUCGCUGUGUAUUCAAUCAAGGUUUAUGAGGACUGAUA